rnacentral:misc_RNA from 1 species
AGUUGCAAAGCAAACAUUCAUUACAACUUUCAGAAAACAUCCUUCUUUGGAAGAUUAAUAAUUAUCAAUAUGACUACUAUUUAACAAAUCAUCCAUUACAAUAUACCAGGAAAGGUAAGAGAGAAUAGAUACAAAGCACAGUAGCUCCACAACACACAAAACCGUAGGCACGAACGAGUAUACUUGUCUUAGCUACACAGGUUCGGUAUGCAGACUCCAGCAUCUGGGUUUUGUUCCUUCCAUAUCCUUCCUGUAACUCUUAGUUUCAGUUCCUU